CUCCCAUGGAGGAUCAGAUCCACGUAGCUCCAGCAUUGCUGUGCGUGUCCUCCACUCAUCAAUAUCAAAAUCAACCAUUUAGAGAUGGAGAAAGAAGUUUAAGGUCCUGGUGACCUUUAUUGCAGCCUUUGCACAUCUAAAUGUAGAUGCUGAUUUACUAAAUCAAUGGCAAGAAGCUCCGAGUCUCGAAUCCUUCAAUCUUUCUCUUCUUUGAUUUCUUACUAAAAACUAAGAGUUGAAGGGGUCAUUUGGCAUUCCAAAGAGAUGGAGGAGGGUCAGAUUUUCUACAGUUUCGUAGAAAAAAAAGUUAUCAAUUUGGUGAGGAAUAGCCAUGGCUCUUCCUCUCUUUUCGUUGGGUUUUCUGUUUCCAGGUGAAAGAAAAUAACACUAUAAAUCUUCCUCAGAGAAGGGAAGGGAUUUGAGGUGCUGGGUAGUCUUGCACUCCAAAAAUUUACCCAAAGAUGAUUUCUUCGUUGCUACUCUCCCCUACCCGUCUCACCCUAUCUCCUCUUCCUCCCAUCCCUUCUAUGUUUUUUUUUCUCCCCCUUUUUCGAUUCUAGACUCUUCUUUUUUUUUUU
rnacentral:misc_RNA from 1 species